rnacentral:rRNA from 1 species
UACGAAGGUGGCAAGCGUUACUCGGAAUUACUAGGCGUAAAGGGCAGGUAGGCGGUUUGGUUAGUCUGUUGUGAAAGCUCCUUGCUUAACGGGGAGAGGCCAACAGAUACUGCCAGACUUGAGUAUAGGAGAGGGUACUGGAAUUCCCGGUGUAGCGGUGAAAUGCGCAGAGAUCGGGAGGAACACCAAUGGCGAAAGCAGGUACCUGGACUAUUACUGACGCUCAGCUGCGAAAGCUAGGGGAGCAAACAGG